rnacentral:rRNA from 1 species
AGUGAACGCUGGCGGUAGGCCUAACACAUGCAAGUCGAACGGCAGCACAGUAAGAGCUUGCUCUUACGGGUGGCGAGUGGCGGACGGGUGAGGAAUACAUCGGAAUCUACUUUUUCGUGGGGGAUAACGUAGGGAAACUUACGCUAAUACCGCAUACGACCUACGGUUGAAAGCAGGGGAUCUUCGGACCUUGCGCGAUUGAAUGAGCCGAUGUCGGAUUAGCUAGUUGGCGGGGUAAAGGCCCACCAAGGCGACGAUCCGUAGCUGGUCUGAGAGGAUGAUCAGCCACACUGGAACUGAGACACGGUCCAGACUCCUACGGGAGGAAGCAGUGGGGAAUAUUGGACCAUGGGCGCAAGCCUGAUCCAGCCAUACCGCGUGGGUGAAGAAGGCCUUCGGGUUGUAAAGCCCUUUUGUUGGGAAAGAAAAGCAGCAGGUUAAUACCCCGCUGUUCUGACGGUACCCAAAGAAUAAGCACCGGCUAACUUCGUG